CUUCACGUGCUCCAUAGUGACUACAGGAGUCCAGGACACAACAGCUCUUGGCCGUUGGAAAGAAUAUUCAGAGGCUAGCGGCUAACCAAGAAUCCGGUUGCCUGGCAAUACAUCUUAGGUCAUUGUUCUCUUUUGGUGAGCCUGUUCCAUUAGAACAAGAAGUUUCAGCUCAGCCCUUUGCUGGCCAUUGGUCUACAGUCAUGCGGUCAAGGAGAGCUCAAGGAGAGUGGGCAUUGAAGCUUCUACUCUCUAACUGGAAGAAAUGUCUAUCUGUGACUACUGGAUCUGCCUUCAGAGACUUAGAAGGGACAUCAAGCCAAGCAGAAAAUACAAAUUUUUGUUUCACAGAAAGCUUAAAGAGUUAGGGAAAAGACAGGAAGAUAAUGGAGAAAAUGGAGAAGGGUAUUAGCAUUCAUUGAACUCUUGCUCUGUGGCUCAUUUUGUACCUAAAACAGAGAAGAAAGCUUUGCUGUGCCAGAGGCCCUAAAUUCCUCUCAUCUACAGUAAAUUUCCAGGACCUUUGCUGAUGCUGACCCUCCCAUUCCUUCCUGUCCUUCAAGGUGUGGUUCAAGUCACACCUCUGCUGUGAUCUGAAAGCCCUCAGUGCUCUCUGGCAGCAAUGUCUUGUCUCCCCAACAUACAAGGCCUUCUACAUCUUUGUGGUUUCCUCAAGAUCCCAACGUCUUGCUCAGAGUUGACUUUCCACCCUGCCACUGACUUUCCUGUUGGCUGGUAUACACAGAUUUAAUUGAUUGGAAAUAAUUCAGAUGAAAUGUAAGCUCUCCUGCUGAAUGCUAGAUUUUGGUGCACCUCUGAUCUUAUUAAAAAAUUAUUCUUUCAACUGUUUUUAAAGAAAGGUGUUAUAUGACAGCAAGAUUUCUGUCUAAAUAAAAGUGUUUUCUUUUCAAACAAAUAUGUAGUCGCCAUUCUGCAAGAUCUAGGCACUGUCUCCCCCACACCAUUCGCUCAACCUCUCCUCCAAGAAUCUACCUUACCUGAGGGAGGGUGUUGGCAGAUCUAUGAGCGAUGGUCCUGGCUAUACUUCCCUGAGGAGGAGGAUUUGUCUCCGGGGAUGAUGAGAAACAGGGAUGUAGAGAAAUUUAGUCAUGAGGUAGGAAUCCUUGAAAGGAGAAAGGAAU
rnacentral:lncRNA from 1 species